UUUUAGUAAUCUCAGAAUUAGACCAGUCAUAUUAGAAUUAAAAAAAAAUACUUCGUUAAAUAUAUACAUGUGUUAUUGUCCAUGAAAAGGACACUAAUGGAGUUGGCCAAUAAAAAUGUCCGAUUUCCGAAUUUCUUGGCCAAUGAUCACAUAAUGCUAUCAGUGGCGUCGCGUAAUGAGCGUAACUUCACACGUCAGUCGUCAGGCCAUCCGCGGCGCCUAAAUAUGUGGUCGUGUGCAUCAAAUGUCACUUAGCGUCACAUCAUUUCGCGUAAGUUGUUCUUCUCUCGUACAUACGUAUCACGAUCACGGGAUUGUGUACAACAUACGCAAAACCACGAUUUAGAAAGAGGCUCGUUAACAUCGUUCGCACCAUAGCUUCCUCGGCACGCUCAUUACCGGCGUUUAUGCGCUUGGAGUCAAUUAAAACUUGGAUCAGUCGUUGUUUGCUAAUGUAUACUCGGAAGUGCCUAUCCGCCACGGAAGGUAAUAAAAUUUACCAAAGUUUUUCAACGUGAUGCGAAACGUACACGUAUUAUGUGUGAAUCUCAAGCGAGACUGGCUUAUGUAAUUUUGAUUUUACAGACUACCCGAUUAAUUUUCAACUUUAUACAGUAUUUUCACUCUAUCAUUUUUUCAAGGAGUUGAUCAGGUAAUUGGUUUUUGAAAAGCUCAGUCGAGAUGCAACACACAUAAUGUGCUCUUCCUGCAAACCGAUACAUUCCCAGGAGCGCCGUUUAAUCAGAUCUGAUUCGAUGAUCGCCGGAAGGCGAGUCUUCCGCUUUCGCGAUAGCGCAACACGGCGUGCUAAUAUUGACACACACGUGCGGACUUCGCGAUGCAUGAAUGGGUAGGGCGCAAACGCACGCAUACACACAUGUAUGUAGGUAUGGAUGCAACGUCGGGGGAGGCAGAUCCGAGGUUGCGUCAGGGGAGCGGCCGGCUCGUAGCGGCGGCAGAGGAGGUGGUGGCUGCCGCGGCAGACGGUUUCAUCGAUUGGCAUUGCCGGCAUCGUCUGGAGGAGAGUGUGAGCGGGCCGCGGGGUCCGUGAACUCCGCGGCUGCUGACGGCGCAUCCCGGUUUUCAUGGUCAUGGGUAAGAGGGCGGUUUCCCUCGGACGGAGGACCGAGAAUCGCGUUCUCUGCUACGCGCGAGAUCAUAGAGAUGAUUGCCGUAAUAAUAUCAUUGAUAUCAUUAUUCCUUUUUCCCCUCUGAGGUCUUGUAUUCAAAUCGAAUGAAAUAUGUAACGUUCUAGUCGGAAACACGCAUUCAAUAUGGAUUUGAAUUUCAAAGCCGAGCCGGAAUGUGAUGCCCCAUUCACGGUUCUGAUGUUAUAAAUACGCUUUCUAUCCGUUUAAUUACAAACGAACACGAAACGAAUUGAAGGAGAAAUAAGGCCGUCGCGGAUUCUAUAACUCCAAGGAAAACGAAGGUACUGUCCGGCUGAUGUAUAUGGCGAGAUGUAAGACAAGACCUCUACCGGGUGUACGUUCGCCUAGUAACGCCGCUGUUCGUGAGACAGAAACGGUCUCGCGAUCUGGGAGACGCUAAUCGUGAGCCGAGCCAGGCUAAACGCAAUUGCACGAGCGUGGAAGCGCGCGAUUCGCAACGGCGGAGCUAGGCUUAUACAGAAGCUCUCCUCGUUCGCCUUGAAACGAGCGCACACGCUCGGGACAUGAUAAAAUGCAAAUGCAACGCCCGACGACGACGACGACGAUCUCCCUCAGGAGAACGCGAAUUGUGGCGAAAUUGCCACGAUCAAUUUUUCGAUGCUACGACAAAUAAAGAAUAAAUCCGUAAUUUCUAGCUAAGUUUUCUUGGAUUUAAGAAAUAAAUUGUUCUACGAUUGUAACGACAGAGAGUCAGCGCCGAAUGUGUGAUACAUAAGCAUGGAAAAUGAGGGCUGACAACGACUGAGGAAGACGCAUAUGCGUGCGUUGUAUGCAUCUGUCAAAACCACGCCCUUAUCCCCAUCCUGCUGCCUCGCGCUAUUCGCCUGUAUACGAAAGAAGAGUCAGGAAGUUCCUCGACAGGUUUUCCACGAUUGAAGCGAUCUGCCUCGCUUCGAAAGAGCGAUUAAAUUUAAUUACCAUCGCAGCUCACGUCUAAUUAGACAUUAAAAGUUAAAUUACUAUAGUUUGGAAACAAUCUCUUAAAACACAAAUAAAAAUAUACGGCAAAAUGCAAAAAAUAUGAUUAGCAAAAAAUAAUAGUAAAGAUAUAACGAUAAAGAAAAAUGAUGUGAGAAAAUAAACGAAACAGUAGCAGAUCGAUGAAUAAGCCUUAAUAACUUGUCACGUCUAAUUUUGCGUUUGACAUAACAUUUGCAUUUGCAUAAACGCACAUUUGAAAAAUAUCCUUAAGAUUUAUCCUGAUCGCUCUUUCGAAACGUUUCAAAUUGCUCCGAUCGAAAACGUUAUGAAUUCGCGCGAUAUAAUCCACUCAUUAAUUCAGGCUCAUUAAUUCGCAUCCAUUAAUCUUAUCGAUUCUCAUACAUAUGCAUAAUUACAGUGAGAUACAAUACGGUACGUAUCGAGGUAUCACCAGUAAUACGUACAUAAAAAAAUCCUUGUCUGCGAGCGAUAAGAGGUCUAUUUAAUCCACGUUUUAAUAAUAUGCAUUUUACGCCACUGUAAUUUUAGGAAAAUACACGGUUCAUGGAUGUAUGGUAACGAUAUAUAACAGUUGUGACGGAAUAAUCAUUAUGAAAACGGUAAACCACUCAUUCCCGGUUCGUCCGAUUCUCCGUCAUAUUCCACGAAGAACGUCAUUAAUUCGCAAUGCCACCGCUCAAUUACGGGGACGAAGAAACAAACGUUUUCUUUCGGAAAGAGAGAGAGAGAGACUCCUUUCGACCACACCCCGUGUCCAUUUUCGAUCGCGUCGAAAGACCGAUCGAUAUCUCGGUGCAAGCCCGGCCGGUGGAGACACGUAAUUUCGGAAGCGACAAUCGAAUUCAACUUCCCACGCUAUAAGCAAAAUGGAGCUCACGCCGAAACGUCGCGUUUCGAUUCGUUGUGAACAAACAUAAAC